rnacentral:lncRNA from 1 species
GAAUACCGGCUACUGGGCAUAUAAUAGGUGACCAACCAGGUGUGAAUUGGGAACCAAUCCAAAACACUCAUCAUCCAAAAGGAGGGCUAAAAAAGAAAACUCGAUUUAUAGGAUGGACAUUCGAUUCCGUAAGGAAAUACGAAUCUUACUCGACCGGGGAAGAAAAAGACUUCUACCGAAGAGUGCAUGAGAUAUUUUAUCUAUUACCGUCAGAACAUAGAUAACCUACUCACAUGGAAU